ensembl:lncRNA
CGCUUAGUUUCCGGUGUGAUAUUCGCUCCUUGUUCACGGUCGGGUUUUUCAACCAAAUGGACGAAUCCAGUGGCGAUUUACAUUUCUCGAGAUGUCGAAUGUAUCUGUAGAUGAUGUUGAUCGACUUGUCGACAUUUUUUCCCCCCGCGCCUCAGAGAGAGACAGGAUUCAAAUUUUAUACUUCUCAGUAUUUGUAUACAGCGCUCCCUCGUUUAUCGCGGGAGUUACGUUCUAAAAAUAACCUGCGAUUGGGGAAAUCUGAAGUAGCCAACUUUAUUUUUUACAAUUAUUAUAGAUGUUUUAAGGUAAAACCCGUCACUACACACUUUAUUGAUCCCUGGGGGAUCAAUAAAGUAUUCUGAUUCUGAUAUACACUCAGACAGGCAUGAACAUUUUCACACGUUUCUCUCCUGUUUAAGCUCUCAAAGUUCAAACCUUCGUAGACAAAUAAGUCCAGUAUUACAGAAACCAAAGAUCAAACCGUGUUUUCAGGUCCAGCACAUGAGAACAGAGCAGCUGAGAGAUAAUUCAACAUCAAUGAAUCAUUAAUGAAUCAGCGAUUCUGUACUGUACAGGAGAGACGGCACGGAGGAGAUCAACAAUAGUCUGCAGCCAAUCAGGACGCAGAACACAAAGCGCUGUGCGCAAAAAAAAAAAACAAAAAAAAAAGCAUGCAAACUUGCACAAAAAAAAUGUGCGAAACAGCGAGGCCGCGUUAUAGCGAGGGACCGCUGUAAUUUUGAAGGCACGUCACAACAUACCCUUCGUAAAUACUCAUGCAUAGAGACCCUUACCACGGUUUGUUGACAUGCUGUGUAGGUGUGUACUUGACUAGCAGGGAAACCUUUGACUAUUGUUCACCUGUAGUUUGAAUGCUGAACAUCUGCCUGUUUAAAUCAUAAGAACUGUCACUAUACAGAGAUGUGCUUCUGAUUCUGUAAUGCAGUUCUGCUUGUGUUGAGUGAUGUAAACCACCAAUCGAUCUGCACAUUUCAAACGUCAAAACUGAUCAUUUGAUUUUUUUAAUGACACAGCAGUGGUGAGUGUUCCCACCUUCUGCUCUUUGUAACUUAACG